rnacentral:lncRNA from 10 species
UUUAUUACUUAAAUUGUUUCUGUGGUCCUUAACCAGGGGCAAUUUUAGUACCAAUGGGGUAUUUUGCAAUGUCUAGAGACACUUUUUGGUUGGUUGUCACAACUGGGAGUGAUAUUGGCAUCUAAUCAGUAUAGGCCAGGGAUGCUGAAAACAUCCUACAACAAAGAAUUAUCUAGUCCAAAAUAUCAAUAGUGCUGAGAUUCAGAGACCCUAAACUAGUGCAACACUCAUGUUCUCAGAGCCUUAGUGUUACCCCAAUUAGCUUACCAAGACAGUUUUCCAAGAAAAGACAGCUCUCUUUCCUAUACAAAUUUUGGCCCUAGCUAUUAAGAAAAUACAUUUCCGCCCAGGUGCGGUGGCUCACACUUGUAAUCCCAGCACUUUGUUGUGUGUACACAGAUAUAUAUAUGUAUAUAUGUAUGCACACUCAUAUAUCUAACAUAUUUAUACACAUGUGUACAUAAACGUGUGAAUACAUAUAUAGAUAUAUUUAUAGGUAUGUUGGUAUGUGUACACAAUAUCUAGGAGUUAUUGAGGGGAAGAGGAACAGCCUGAAAUCCCGUCUGAUAUUUCACUUACCUGAAUGGGAAAACUUCAGAGGGCAUGCCAUUCUUUUUUUCUUCAUCUUUUAUUUUAAGUUUAGGGAUGUCCCUCCCCUCAUGUCCACCUUCCUACAGGCCCCAGUGUGUGUUAUUCCCCACCUCAUGUGUCCAUGUGUUCUCAUCAUUCAGCUCCCACUUAUAAAAGAGAACAUGCAGCACUUGGUUUUCUGUUCCUGUGCUAGUUUGCUGAGGAUAAUGGCUUCCAACUCCAUCCAUGUCCCUGCAAAGUACAUGAUCUCAUUCCUUUUUAUGGCUGCAUAGUAUUUCAUAGUAUUUAAUGGCUUCCAUCUCCAUCCAUGUCCCUGCAAAGUACAUGAUCUCAUUCCUUUUUAUGGCUGCAUAGUAUUUCAUAGUAUUUAAUGGCCUCCAUCUCCAUCCAUGUCCCUGCAAAGUACAUGAUCUCAUUCCUUUUUAUGGCUGCAUAGUAUUUCAUAGUAUUUAAUGGCUUCCAUCUCCAUCCAUGUCCCUGCAAAGUACAUGAUCUCAUUCCUUUUUAUGGCUGCAUAAUGUUUCAUGGUGUGUAUGUAUCACAUUUUAUUUAUCCAGUCUAUCAUUGAUGGGCAUUUAGGUUGAUUCCAUGUCUUUGCUAUUGCAAAUAGUGCUUCAGUGAACAUACACGUGCAUGUAUCUUUAUAAUAGAAUGAUUUAUGUUCUUUUGGGUACAUACUGAAUAAUGGGAUUGCUGGGUCAAAUGGUAUUUCUGGUUCUAGGUCUUUCAGGAAUCACCACACUGUCUUCCACAGUGGUUGAACUAAUUUACAUUCCCACCAACAGUAUAAAAGUGUUCCUAUUUCUCCAUGGUCUUGCCAGCAUUUGUUGUUUCUUGACUUUUUGAUAGUAGCUGUUCUGACUGGCAUGACAUGGUAUCUCAUUGUGGUUUUCUUUUUUUGGUUGUAUCUCUGCUAGGUUUUGGUAUCAGGAUGAUGUUGUCCUCAUAGAAUGAGUUAGGGAGGAGGAGUCUCUCCUUUUCUAUAUUUUGGAAUAGUUUCAGUAGGCAUGGUACUACCUCUUCUUUGUAUCUCUGGUAGAAUUCAGCUGUAAUCCAUCUGGUCCUGGGAUUCUUUUUUUUUUUUUUUCCUUUUUGGUUGGUAGGCUCUUUAUUCCUGCAUCAAUUUUAGAACUCGUUAUUGUUCUAUUCAGAGAUUUAAUUUCUUCCUGGAUCAGUCUUGGGAGGGUUUAUGUGUCUAGGAAUUUAUCCAUUUCAUCUAUAUUUUCUAAUUUAUGUACAUAGAAGUGUUUAUAGAGGUGUUUAUAGUAGGUUUGAUGGCUGUUUGUAUUUCUAUGUGGUCAGUGUUUAUAUCCCCCUUUUUAUUUCUGGUUGUGUUUAUUUGAAUCUUCUAUCUUUUCUUCUUUAUUAUUCUAGCUACAGGUCUAUCUAUUUUAUUAAUUUUUUCAAGAAAAUAGUUCCUGGAUUCAUUGAUUUUUUUAAAGGGUUUUUUUGUGUCUCUAUAUCAUUUAGUUCAGCUCUGAUAUUGGUUAUUUCUUGUCUUUUGCU